rnacentral:lncRNA from 1 species
CUAAACUACUGAAAAGUCUGCAGAAAGAACGGUACAGCGAGAGAGAGAGGAGAGAGAGCAGAGCGCGGGGUGAGGCCAGGUCCCCAGACACAGAGCACACACACAACGCGCGGGGACGCGGCUCGGAGCGCUCCGGCCAAGACCUGCUGCAAGCCCUGCCAGGUCUGUUCCCAGCAGGCAGAAGAGGAGCGGGAAUCGUCUCCAGGAGCUCCGGAUCCCGGCUGCGCUGCCAUCGCUCUGCAGCACCCAAAGCCCUCCUGGGAGCAGCCCUGGCCCUGCAGCCCAAUGCAGAUUCACUGAGAAGUGCUGCACUGAGGACCUUGCACUGAGCCCCCUCCUGGGGUGGGGCUGGGACCACCUCCCCUCGCUAACGGCAGAGCACCAGACACAGAGCCAGAGCAACGCACAACCGCCUGAGCACAUCCGCCACGGGGCCAGAGCCCCUCUGUGGGACAGCAGGGACUUCCACCACCUUCCCAAGCACCAGCAUGAGGUUCCGGAUGUGGGGCAGCAGGGUCUGACCAUCACAGAAUGGGGCUGAGCUCCGCUGCGGGCUGUGUGUGGGGCAGGGAAGGGUCUGACCUGUCCACAUCUUGCUCUGCCCCCACGGGGCACACUCCGACACGCAGGGCUGUGUGUGGGCAGCGUGGAGCUGGGCCAGCCCCUUCUGCAGCAGCGCCGGGGAUGCGCGGUGUCCCUGGGCACCGGCCAACGUCUGCUCUGCACCAGACUGGAGGAUCCGCCAGGAGACAAAUGGUGCUGCAAGAUCACCUCCCUUCUGCCAUCACCUGCUUCUCACAAACCUUGCCUGGCGUCAACAAGGAUGCUCGGAAUGAGAAAAUAAAUGAACCAAAAAAGCAGCUUGGAGUGCUCUGAUCGGAGUGAACCCCUCAGCCCGCAGAGCCCAGGGGUGUGAUCCUGUGGGGCCAUCGGGGCCCGGGCGCUGAGCAGGGCCGUGGGACUCCGUGAGGUCCCUCUGUGCACCCCGCAUCCAGCUCAGCCACUUCUGCCCCCUCCUGCCUCCAGCUGCCCUGACUGCCACUCUUUGACCGCGCUGCGCUUUGCCAACAAGCACCCAAUGGAGAGCGUUGGCCCUGGCCAGUCGGCAACCCAACCUCCAGCCCAGGAGGGCAGGAAGGCGAUGGGGCACCACGGCACCCUGCAGCUCUGCCUUCCCCUGCUGGAACGAAUUGAUGGCAACAGAAAUGCAUGCAGGGCCCGAAGCCACCAACGCAGACUGCUGUGUAAGAACCACGUUCUGGGAGGCCCAUAGGUGCUAAGGGAAGAUGAGCUUCACGGGAAUAGGAAGGGCUCAGCCACACUGCCUCUUGUGCUCGUGUUCCUCCCACCUCGGCACAGAAAGCAGGAGAUACAAAGGAGCGUGACGGUGAGUCACACUUGGGAAGCGCCAUCAACAUGAAAGAGGAGCAACUGAAUGACCUUCAGGACUGCAGUAUGAGAAACAGAACAUAAAGGGACGGCGCGCAGCCCAGGGCCCGGCUCACGAGGCUGGCAAAGGAUCUCUGCUUUCAGCCGGAGCUCAUCCAUGGGGAUGAUGAAGGAGGAGAAAGUUCUGGGUCUGCUGGCACAGCCCGGAGGUGCGGGCACAGCAGGAGUGCUGCAAGACCUACGUGUGCACUCACAUCUCCACAGCAGAUACCGCUGGCAUCUCUGCUGGGAUUUGGAGGACAUUUCGGGUCCCUCACAUUCAAGAAAGGUAAAUGUGAAGAGGAGUGGCUGCAGGCAGUGGCAGCUGGCUGCCGAGAGCUUGCCCAGCCUGGAGAAGAUGGGAUGGAGAGGGGGACUGUUCCCAGAGGUUGGGAGAGACUGCAGUGGAAGGGCACGAGGAUGCCAUGCAGGAGUGCUGACUGGGCAGCGGGUGACACCCAGCUGGCAGACCCUGCUCAGGGAGCUGGCAGCCCAGCAGGCACUUUGGUGCCCAAUGAGGACACAGCUACGGCCCACCAGGAGCAAUGCGAUGCGACAACGCCACAGCCCUGCUGCUGAGGGAUGCAAUUCGUUACGGUCUGAGGGCUCAUCUUCCAUGGAACUUUGCAGAACAAGCCAAAAUCUGUGUCCAAGUGUGAAUCAAUCUUGAUGCAGGAUGAAUGACGACCGCUGCAGAGAGGAUUUCAGAGGACAGCAGCACGCUGCGUUGUGCGUUGAGGGGAUGGGCUGAGGGUGCGCUGGGGAGGGUCAGGUUGGAGCUGGAGAACAA